rnacentral:tRNA from 1 species
GCUGAGGUGGCGGAAUUGGCAUACGCGCACGUUUGAGGGGCGUGUCUUUAAUAGGGGUGCGGGUUCGAGUCCCGCUCUCAGCA